UACGUAGGGGGCAAGCGUUGUCCGGAAUCAUUGGGCGUAAAGAGCGUGUAGGCGGUCCGGUAAGUCAGCUGUGAAAGUCAAGGGCUCAACCCUUGAAAGCCGGUUGAUACUGUCGGGCUAGAGUCCGGAAGAGGCGAGUGGAAUUCCCGGUGUAGCGGUGAAAUGCGCAGAUAUCGGGAGGAACACCAAUGGCGAAGGCAGCUCGCUGGGACGGUACUGACGCUGAGGAGCGAAAGCGUGGGGAGCAAACAGG
rnacentral:rRNA from 1 species